UGACACUCUUAACUGUUCACUUCUGGACUUGGAGGGGGGAAACGUUGCGAAAAAGAGUUCCACGGGACCUCCAAGAUGUGUCCAGUCUGCUCUGUGCCAGGAAACUGCACGGAGAUAACCUGUCCUCCAGCCCGGGACUCCUGCUUGUUAAGCCAGUUGCAGCUGGCAAAUGGGACUCUCGUCAAGAAUGGGUCCUGCGUGGCCCCUGGGGAAUGUCGAAGAGAUGUCUACUCCCUGACCUGCGGCCCCCACUUGAGUCUCUGGAUCAGCACAGCCUGUUAUGAAAACAGCUGUAGCGGGUUUACCCGACAAGAAGCGAGACCCGAAGCUCAGCCCAACGGGGUGAAGUGUUCCUACUCUUGUGGGAAUAAGUCGGCCCCAUGUGACUC